UGGGGGAUAUUGCACAAUGGGCGAAAGCCUGAUGCAGCGACGCCGCGCGGGGGAUGAAGGCCUUCGGGUUGUAAACUUCUUUUGCUCUGAACAAGGCGCACCAUGGGGUGUGUUGAGUGUAGGGGUUGAUUAGCGCCGGCUAACUACGUGCCAGCAGCCGCGGUAAUACGUAGGGCGCGAGCGUUGUCCGGAAUUAUUGGGCGUAAAGGGCUUGUAGGUGGCUGGUUGCGUCUGUCGUGAAAGCUCAUGGCUUAACUGUGGGUUUGCGGUGGGUACGGGCUGGCUUGAGUGCAGUAGGGGAGGCUGGAAUUCCUGGUGUAGCGGUGGAAUGCGCAGAUAUCAGGAGGAAUACCGGUGGCGAAGGCGGGUCUCUGGGCUGUUACUGACACUGAGGAGCGAAAGCAUGGGGAGCGAACAGG
rnacentral:rRNA from 1 species